UCUCAGGAGGCUCUGGCACCCUAGUGCCUGGGGCCUGUGCUACCUCCUGUCUCUGCCAGGACACCCGCAGUCCCUGGUGGACAGCCAGGCCCCCUCCACAGCCUGGGGCUGAGGGGGUACUUCCUUCUCACUUCUGCUCAGGAAACUGGAGAAGACUCAUGAUUACAGCUUUGAACCAGCUCCAACAGACCCGCUGCUUCCAAGAAGCCAUCCUUGACGCCGUGCCUGCAUGGCACCCUCCCUCCUAGGGCUCCUCCUGCUGCUCUUCUCCCCUGCACCUCCGGCCGGUAUUUACUUUUCCCUCAGAGUCAGACACAGCUGAACAUCUAAGCACACUCGCUCAAUGGAGCACCGUAUUAUUCCAGUACGGGAAUGCUGCAGGCUAUACUAGAACGUUCAGAGGCUCAACACAGGCUUGGAUCCGAAGCCUGGCUCAGUCACUUACUAGCUGGACCAAUUCAGAUAAGCUGUGCUGGAUCUUAGUUGGGACAUCAGGGGUCUAUUUGUGGCAUGCAAGAUCUAGUUCCCUGACCAGGGAUUGAACCCGGGCUCCCUGCAUUGGGCACAUGGCGUUUAAGCCACUGGACCACCAAGGAAGUCCCCUCGCCUUCCUUUGUCUUCACUACAAGUCUCCUAUCAGCAGCUCUCCAAACCUGGUCUCUUUGGUCCCGGGCUUUGGGGCCACAUCAGGC
ensembl:lncRNA